GUUUGAUCCUGGCUCAGAUUGAACGCUGGCGGCAGGCCUAACACAUGCAAGUCGAGCGGUAGCACAGAGAGCUUGCUCUCGGGUGACGAGCGGCGGACGGGUGAGUAAUGUCUGGGAAACUGCCUGAUGGAGGGGGAUAACUACUGGAAACGGUAGCUAAUACCGCAUAACGUCGCAAGACCAAAGUGGGGGACCUUCGGGCCUCAUGCCAUCAGAUGUGCCCAGAUGGGAUUAGCUAGUAGGUGGGGUAAUGGCUCACCUAGGCGACGAUCCCUAGCUGGUCUGAGAGGAUGACCAGCCACACUGGAACUGAGACACGGUCCAGACUCCUACGGGAGGCAGCAGUGGGGAAUAUUGCACAAUGGGCGCAAGCCUGAUGCAGCCAUGCCGCGUGUAUGAAGAAGGCCUUCGGGUUGUAAAGUACUUUCAGCGAGGAGGAAGGCAUUAAGGUUAAUAACCUUGGUGAUUGACGUUACUCGCAGAAGAAGCACCGGCUAACUCCGUGCCAGCAGCCGCGGUAAUACGGAGGGUGCAAGCGUUAAUCGGAAUUACUGGGCGUAAAGCGCACGCAGGCGGUCUGUCAAGUCGGAUGUGAAAUCCCCGGGCUCAACCUGGGAACUGCAUUCGAAACUGGCAGGCUAGAGUCUUGUAGAGGGGGGUAGAAUUCCAGGUGUAGCGGUGAAAUGCGUAGAGAUCUGGAGGAAUACCGGUGGCGAAGGCGGCCCCCUGGACAAAGACUGACGCUCAGGUGCGAAAGCGUGGGGAGCAAACAGGAUUAGAUACCCUGGUAGUCCACGCCGUAAACGAUGUCGACUUGGAGGUUGUGCCCUUGGAGGCGUGGCUUCCGGAGCUAACGCGUUAAGUCGACCCCCUGGGAAGUACGGCCGCAAGGUUAAAACUCAAAUGAAUUGACGGGGGCCCGCACAAGCGGUGGAGCAUGUGGUUUAAUUCGAUGCAACGCGAAGAACCUUACCUACUCUUGACAUCCAGAGAACUUAGCAGAGAUGCUUUGGUGCCUUCGGGAACUCUGAGACAGGUGCUGCAUGGCUGUCGUCAGCUCGUGUUGUGAAAUGUUGGGUUAAGUCCCGCAACGAGCGCAACCCUUAUCCUUUGUUGCCAGCGGUUCGGCCGGGAACUCAAAGGAGACUGCCAGUGAUAAACUGGAGGAAGGUGGGGAUGACGUCAAGUCAUCAUGGCCCUUACGAGUAGGGCUACACACGUGCUACAAUGGCAUAUACAAAGAGAAGCGACCUCGCGAGAGCAAGCGGACCUCAUAAAGUAUGUCGUAGUCCGGAUUGGAGUCUGCAACUCGACUCCAUGAAGUCGGAAUCGCUAGUAAUCGUAGAUCAGAAUGCUACGGUGAAUACGUUCCCGGGCCUUGUACACACCGCCCGUCACACCAUGGGAGUGGGUUGCAAAAGAAGUAGGUAGCUUAACCUUCGGGAGGGCGCUUACCACUUUGUGAUUCAUGACUGGGGUGAAGUCGUAACAAAGGUAACCGUAG
rnacentral:rRNA from 1 species